rnacentral:siRNA from 1 species
AGAGCGAAACUGGAUAGACUGAUC